AUGCCCCAACGACUUCUGAAGUGGCAGCGAUAUGGGUUGAAGGGAGCGACCCACAAAAUUGUUUUGACAGGAGUGUUGUCGUACAUGCCAAAAAAGGAGACCGACCCCUCUAUAUUAGAGCGUACUAUGGCUGCUAUGACCCAUUGUCAUAUCCACUGUUUUUCCCACGUGGGGAGACUGGUUGGAAUCGUUGGAUGCCGUAUGUUCAGACCCCCGAUGACACCAUCCAAUUUCCAGCGCAUAAUUCUGGACCGCAAGAAAACCGGACCUCUGAUUUACAUACAUGUAUGA
rnacentral:rRNA from 1 species